rnacentral:rRNA from 1 species
CCCACAUAUUCAUGAUCUGGCCUCAAAUCAGGUAGGGCUACCCGCUGAACUUAAGCAUAUCAAUAAGCGGAGGAAAAGAAACUAACUAGGAUUCCCUUAGUAACGGCGAGUGAACCGGGAUGAGCUCAAAUUUAAAAUCUGGCGUCUUUCAGGCGUCCGAGUUGUAAUCUAUAGAGGCGUUUUCCGCGCCGGACCGCGUCCAAGUCUCUUGGAAUAGAGUAUCAAAGAGGGUGACAAUCCCGUACUUGACGCGACAACCGGUGCUCUGUGAUACGUUCUCAAUGAGUCGAGUUGUUUGGGAAUGCAGCUCUAAAUGGGUGGUAAAUUCCAUCUAAGGCUAAAUAUUGGCGAGAGACCGAUAGCGAACAAGUACCGUGAGGGAAAGAUGAAAAGCACUUUGGAAAGAGAGUUAAACAGCACGUGAAAUUGUUAAAAGGGAAACGAUUGAAGUCAGUCGUGUGAAAGGUAUUCAGCCGUCUCUGGCGGUGUAUUUGCCUUUCACGGGUCAACAUCAGUUUGAUCCGGUAGAAAAAGGCAGGAGGAAGGUGGCACCCUCGGGUGUGUUAUAGCCUCUUGUCAUAUGUGCCGGACCAGACUGAGGAACGCAGCUUGCCGCAAGGCCGGGGUUCGCCCACGUACAAGCUUAGGAUGUUGACAUAAUGGCUUUAAACGACCCGUCUUGAAACACGGACCAA